rnacentral:lncRNA from 1 species
CAGGCUGCUUUUUCUUUGUGUUUUCUACUGUCUCUGUGAAAUAGUUUUAGAGACUCUAUGAGGUAGUUAAGUUGGUAGUGCCUUCUCAGUACAGUAAAACCCUGGUGGUACAACUUCACCAUAUAGUAAUUUGGAAGUGACUCAAGUUCAGAAACUGGCUGGCAAUGCUCCAUGUCAUGGACCGUGG